AUUGAACGCUGGCGGCAUGCUUUACACAUGCAAGUCGAAUGGUAACAGGCCGCAAGGUGCUGACGAGUGGCGAACGGGUGAGUAAUGCAUCGGAACGUGCCCAGUCGUGGGGGAUAACGCAGCGAAAGCUGCGCUAAUACCGCAUACGAUCUAUGGAUGAAAGCGGGGGACCGUAAGGCCUCGCGCGAUUGGAGCGGCCGAUGUCAGAUUAGGUAGUUGGUGGGGUAAAGGCUCACCAAGCCGGCGAUCUGUAGCUGGUCUGAGAGGACGACCAGGCACACUGGGAGUGAAACACGGCACAGGCUCCGGCGGGAGGCAGCAGUGGGGAAUUUUGAGCAAUGGGCGCAAGCCUGAUCCAGCAAUGCCGCGUGCAGGAAGAAGGCCUUCGGGUUGUAAACUGCUUUUGUACGGAACGAAACGGCUCUGGUUAAUACCUGGGGCUAAUGACGGUACCGUAAGAAUAAGCACCGGCUAACUACGUGCCAGCAGCCGCAGUAAUAC
rnacentral:rRNA from 1 species